ensembl:lncRNA
CAUGCCCAGACAUGCACUGUGCUCAUCCGUGGUUGUGCACAGUGACUUUCUGCAGCUGGGGACUCACCUCACAAAGGAAUAGAGAAGAAGUGAUGAAUUGGUGAAAUUCCUAGAGAAGCAGGAGCUACACGAAGAAUUUGAAGAUAGAGAACAAGCACACAUGUAUGGACAAGAUACAGAUAAAGUAUAGCUAUCUAAGAAAGAUGAGUGCCAUGACCUUUGGAGCAUUUCCUUGGAGAUCCUUGAAAUCUGGCUCAUGGAAGUACUGACAGAAGUUGUUUCCUCUAAAUGAAACCCAAAGUGGAAGCCUCUUCAAGUGUGCAUAUCAGGAAUCUUCUCA